CGCUGCCCGCACGAGCGGGACCGGAGCUGUGAGCUCCCCGCGAGUGACCCCGCCGGUGCCCCCUUUGUGCCGUGCCCGGAGAAGGCUGCUUCCCCCGCCCGGGCAGGCCCGGCAUCUGUGAGGGCACAGCGUGUCCCGUGGCAGUGCAAGGAGCAGCGAUUUUGUCCCAUGGGUUUAACGCAUGUGGCACAAGACGGAUGGGAUGCCCAGGCUGGUGGAUUUGCGCCAGGGAAAGUCCAGGAAGAAAUACCCAAUGAAGGGCUUGAAUUCCUCGAGGAUGCAUAAUGCUCCUCUGGUUCCAAGAAAUGCACUGCAGAAAGGAUGGCAACCUCCACCUCUCCCUGUCUUUCAUGUCUUCUGAAUAAACCAGAGAAGAUGAGUUCAGACUGGUAGCAGGUCAGCCCUGCUUCUUCUUCACCUCUCCCUCCAUGAGCCUGGCAACAAAACCAGGUCCUAUCAACAAAACCAGAUCCACUCCACAAAACCCACCACUGGAAAGCACAGAGCAACUGCUGGCAGUCCUUAUUUCUGGCUGAAACCACUCUGCUACCCUGGAAAUUUGUCUCUGGUGUCAGUUUUUACUUUGCCACCUUGCUGGCAAAACCAACCUGGAUGUGGCAGCUGAGAUUGAGCAAGAAACCUGUCAGGAGCUCAGCUGGCACACUGAGGCGAGGCUGGGGACUGACACAGUUAGAGAAUUCCCACAGAAGGAAGUUUUCCUUUUGCAUUGUCGCACAGCAUCUACCACAUCAGCCUGUUUACUGCUCCCUGCUUUAUUAAGCAAUUCCUCCCUCCCAUGGAGGCCUGCUGGACACAGGGCCUUGCAGCAGCACUCUGAAAACUGCAGCUGUAACUGCUUGCAAAUUGCAGGGAGCAUGUGGUCAAUGUAUGGUAAUUAUUCUAGAAGACAACAAAGUUACUGCAGACUUUCCAGCCAUUUUAGUAAAAGACUACAGCAGCCUGUAAAAUGCUACAGCAGUGUAAUUUUAUAUGGUCUCCAACAGCAGCAGUUCAGUACCCCCAUUGAAAUACCAUCCAGCCUUUCACCUCCUAAUCAGAUAACAAAUGACAAACCACUUCAGUGUCCUUCACUUUAUCGAGCCAUUGCGACACUAAAGGGCUCAGUGUCUUUCUGACAGUCAACAAACAAAAAACUGCAGUGCACUGCCUGGGGUGCACUGCCUGAAGUGUUCAACUGCUCUUUGGAGGCACAGCUAUGCUUGGGAUCCCUCUGUCCAGGUGGAGAUUUUGGGAGGCAGAGCUCACAGAAGCAAGGAAAGGAGCUGUCCCUGCCUAAGGUUGAACC